GACCCUACGGGACGCAGCAGUGGGGAAUAUUGCACAAUGGGGGAAACCCUGAUGCAGCGACGCCGCGUGAGCGAUGAAGUAUUUCGGUAUGUAAAGCUCUAUCAGCAGGGAAGAAAAUGACGGUACCUGACUAAGAAGCCCCGGCUAACUACGUGCCAGCAGCCGCGGUAAUACGUAGGGGGCAAGCGUUAUCCGGAUUUACUGGGUGUAAAGGGAGCGUAGACGGCUGUGAAAGCCAGAUGUGAAAGCCCGAGGAUCAACCACGG
rnacentral:rRNA from 1 species